GACGAACCGUGCGAACGUUGUUCGGAAUCACUGGGCUUAAAGGGCGCGUAGGCGGCUUGUCAAGUCGGGGGUGAAAUCCGGCAGCUUAACUGUCGAAGUGCCUUCGAUACUGGCAAGCUCGAGGGAGGUAGGGGUCUGUGGAACUUCUGGUGGAGCGGUGAAAUGCGUUGAUAUCAGAAGGAACGCCGGUGGCGAAAGCGACGGACUGGAUCUCUUCUGACGCUGAGGCGCGAAAGCUAGGGUAGCGAACGGG
rnacentral:rRNA from 1 species